CUGAGGCGGUUUGGUGUUACUCUGUAUGGACAAAUACCCAAAGCCUUCUGAUGAGCAAAUUGAUGAACAGGAGAAAAAUCCAGAGAAUUAGCCUGACCAAGAUGAUCUGUAGAUGAUGCAGAAGAAGAGCAGCUGUGUUGUAAACUGUGUAACACCUGGGCAGAUUCUACCAAAACCAAGCAGGACUGACCACCUAAUGCCCUAGAAAGUGCAAGGCAAACAGAAUGCUCAGCUGCUCAGGGCUCUAGCUGGGAGAGAGGAAUGCUCUUGUUGUACACUUAGGCUAUUCAAGUCAAUGAAAAGGCAUUUAUUACCCUUAGAAGCCUUCUGUGAGUUACAUUGUAAUGAUCUCUCAACCUUGGUACGGCAUGAUGAGUAAAGCUGCUCAGGCAAAGGCAGUGAAAACCAGUGUUAAAACUCUGUGGUGGCAGCACCAAAGGAAUAAAUAGAAAGUCAAUGAGGUGAGAAGUAAAUAUUUAUGGAUUUGAACUCUUGGCUUGUCUUGGUAGAAUUAAUUGGGCAAAUAUUGGUGCACAAUGAUCCACACAAAGUGCUGAAAUCAUGUCCUCCAUUAGGAACAAAGUAAAGCCACCCAGGGGUUUGGGUGGGUAAUCAGGGCUGUCAUCCCACCUUUGCUCCUUUCACCUCUGCCUGAGCAGCAACAUCCCCUGCAAUCCAACCCAGGGAUGUGGGUCAGUGCUGGUGUUUGCACUGGGUAUUCCCAGGGUGUUGUGCUGAAAUCCUGGUUUUCGGGGACACACCCAGAGCUGCCCAAGCUGCUCUCUGCUCUGCAGGCACUGCACACUUCUGUGCUCAGGGGGUUUUAUUGGCACUCCUUAGCCUAUAAACCAAUGUGUUUCCCUUUAUGGCACCAUGCUAGGAGGUUUUGCAAUAAUUUCUUGCUGUUUAUGAUUGUUUACACCUGGCAUCAUAUAUAUAUUUUUGUUGCUGAUAAUAAAA